GAUUAAGUUAUUAAGGGCGCACGGUGGAUGCCUUGGCACUAGAAGCCGAUGAAGGACGUUACUAACGACGAUAUGCUUUGGGGAGCUGUAAGUAAGCUUUGAUCCAGAGAUUUCCGAAUGGGGAAACCCAGCAUGAGUUAUGUCAUGUUAUCGAUAUGUGAAUACAUAGCAUAUCAGAAGGCACACCCGGAGAACUGAAACAUCUUAGUACCCGGAGGAAGAGAAAGAAAUUCGAUUCCCUUAGUAGCGGCGAGCGAAACGGGAAGAGCCCAAACCAACAAGCUUGCUUGUUGGGGUUGUAGGACACUCUAUACGGAGUUACAAAGGACGACAUUAGACGAAUCAUCUGGAAAGAUGAAUCAAAGAAGGUAAUAAUCCUGUAGUCGAAAAUGUUGUCUCUCUUGAGUGGAUCCUGAGUACGACGGAGCACGUGAAAUUCCGUCGGAAUCUGGGAGGACCAUCUCCUAAGGCUAAAUACUCUCUAGUGACCGAUAGUGAACCAGUACCGUGAGGGAAAGGUGAAAAGCACCCCGGAAGGGGAGUGAAAUAGAACCUGAAACCGUGUGCUUACAAGUAGUCAGAGCCCGUUAAUGGGUGAUGGCGUGCCUUUUGUAGAAUGAACCGGCGAGUUACGAUUUGAUGCAAGGUUAAGCAGUAAAUGUGGAGCCGUAGCGAAAGCGAGUCUGAAUAGGGCGUUUAGUAUUUGGUCGUAGACCCGAAACCAGGUGAUCUACCCUUGGUCAGGUUGAAGUUCAGGUAACACUGAAUGGAGGACCGAACCGACUUACGUUGAAAAGUGAGCGGAUGAACUGAGGGUAGCGGAGAAAUUCCAAUCGAACCUGGAGAUAGCUGGUUCUCUCCGAAAUAGCUUUAGGGCUAGCCUCAAGUGAUGAUUAUUGGAGGUAGAGCACUGUUUGGACGAGGGGCCCCUCUCGGGUUACCGAAUUCAGACAAACUCCGAAUGCCAAUUAAUUUAACUUGGGAGUCAGAACAUGGGUGAUAAGGUCCGUGUUCGAAAGGGAAACAGCCCAGACCACCAGCUAAGGUCCCAAAAUAUAUGUUAAGUGGAAAAGGAUGUGGCGUUGCCCAGACAACUAGGAUGUUGGCUUAGAAGCAGCCAUCAUUUAAAGAGUGCGUAAUAGCUCACUAGUCGAGUGACACUGCGCCGAAAAUGUACCGGGGCUAAACAUAUUACCGAAGCUGUGGAUUGUCCUUUGGACAAUGGUAGGAGAGCGUUCUAAGGGCGUUGAAGCAUGAUCGUAAGGACAUGUGGAGCGCUUAGAAGUGAGAAUGCCGGUGUGAGUAGCGAAAGACGGGUGAGAAUCCCGUCCACCGAUUGACUAAGGUUUCCAGAGGAAGGCUCGUCCGCUCUGGGUUAGUCGGGUCCUAAGCUGAGGCCGACAGGCGUAGGCGAUGGAUAACAGGUUGAUAUUCCUGUACCACCUAUAAUCGUUUUAAUCGAUGGGGGGACGCAGUAGGAUAGGCGAAGCGUGCGAUUGGAUUGCACGUCUAAGCAGUAAGGCUGAGUAUUAGGCAAAUCCGGUACUCGUUAAGGCUGAGCUGUGAUGGGGAGAAGACAUUGUGUCUUCGAGUCGUUGAUUUCACACUGCCGAGAAAAGCCUCUAGAUAGAAAAUAGGUGCCCGUACCGCAAACCGACACAGGUAGUCAAGAUGAGAAUUCUAAGGUGAGCGAGCGAACUCUCGUUAAGGAACUCGGCAAAAUGACCCCGUAACUUCGGGAGAAGGGGUGCUCUUUAGGGUUAACGCCCAGAAGAGCCGCAGUGAAUAGGCCCAAGCGACUGUUUAUCAAAAACACAGGUCUCUGCUAAACCGUAAGGUGAUGUAUAGGGGCUGACGCCUGCCCGGUGCUGGAAGGUUAAGAGGAGUGGUUAGCUUCUGCGAAGCUACGAAUCGAAGCCCCAGUAAACGGCGGCCGUAACUAUAACGGUCCUAAGGUAGCGAAAUUCCUUGUCGGGUAAGUUCCGACCCGCACGAAAGGCGUAACGAUUUGGGCACUGUCUCAACGAGAGACUCGGUGAAAUCAUAGUACCUGUGAAGAUGCAGGUUACCCGCGACAGGACGGAAAGACCCCGUGGAGCUUUACUGUAGCCUGAUAUUGAAAUUCGGCACAGCUUGUACAGGAUAGGUAGGAGCCUUUGAAACGUGAGCGCUAGCUUACGUGGAGGCGCUGGUGGGAUAUUACCCUAGCUGUGUUGGCUUUCUAACCCGCACCACUUAUCGUGGUGGGAGACAGUGUCAGGCGGGCAGUUUGACUGGGGCGGUCGCCUCCUAAAAGGUAACGGAGGCGCUCAAAGGUUCCCUCAGAAUGGUUGGAAAUCAUUCAUAGAGUGUAAAGGCAUAAGGGAGCUUGACUGCGAGACCUACAAGUCGAGCAGGGUCGAAAGACGGACUUAGUGAUCCGGUGGUUCCGCAUGGAAGGGCCAUCGCUCAACGGAUAAAAGCUACCCCGGGGAUAACAGGCUUAUCUCCCCCAAGAGUUCACAUCGACGGGGAGGUUUGGCACCUCGAUGUCGGCUCAUCGCAUCCUGGGGCUGUAGUCGGUCCCAAGGGUUGGGCUGUUCGCCCAUUAAAGCGGUACGCGAGCUGGGUUCAGAACGUCGUGAGACAGUUCGGUCCCUAUCCGUCGUGGGCGUAGGAAAUUUGAGAGGAGCUGUCCUUAGUACGAGAGGACCGGGAUGGACAUACCUCUGGUGUACCAGUUGUCGUGCCAACGGCAUAGCUGGGUAGCUAUGUGUGGACGGGAUAAGUGCUGAAAGCAUCUAAGCAUGAAGCCCCCCUCAAGAUGAGAUUUCCUAACUUCGGUUAUAAGAUCCCUCAAAGAUGAUGAGGUUAAUAGGUUCGAGGUGGAAGCAUGGUGACAUGUGGAGCUGACGAAUACUAAUCGAUCGAAGACUUAAUCAA
rnacentral:rRNA from 1 species